AGGUGGCUUUGUCAAUGGCUUACAUUUUCACUGGAAAGUAUAUUCCAGGGAUUUGAUGAAUUAGCUGAGGGACUGCCCAAUAUAAUGUUCAGGGGAGAAAAGAAACAACACUAAUCAACAAAAAAUAUGCUGCUUUUCUGAUGAAAGACCUUGGUUGCUAGGAAGAGUGUAUCCAAGUGUUUGCUUAUGUUUUGUGUAGACGGCUAACACUCUGCCCUUUAAAUAAUGUUUUCUUAAGAAGUGAAGCUAUAACUCAAUGAAGAAAUUGCAGUAAUCACAUUUCCUCAAAAACUGAGAAUCAUGACCUCUCUGUAAUUAAAAUGGCAUCUUUCAAACAUAAAUCUACUGGCCAAUGCAUUUUUAAUAUAUUUUCAUUAUUACAGAUAUUUGAAAUCAACUUGAUUUUGAAAAGAAAAAAUGCUGAUUCUACAUGCAGAAAGUGUAUCAAACCCAUUUGAAUCAUUCUUUUUUGUUUUUCCCCCCUGAUGUUCAGUGUAGUUUGGUGAAGUGUUGGCAAAUUCCUGUCCGUACAGUUGAUGAUGCUGUUCAGGGAGAGGGAUAUAUUAAGCAAUUGCUUGAGUCAGGAAAUGCCUGUUCAUCCUUCACCUGCCUCUCACAGGUUGGACUUACUUAGAAGAAGACCCUGCCCUCAUGCUGACAUUGUUUGUGUGCUGCUCAGCUUACUCAUGACCAUGCUGUCAGCAUGAAAAAGAGAAGACUUGAGGCUACUUUCAUGCUUGGGGCUUGUCCUUUUGCUGUCAAAAAUGUUUCUUGUUCCGCAGGAAAAUAAGAUAUAAAUGACUUCAAACACAGCUCCUUCUUACACAGCUGUUAUGCAGACAAAGGUGUCUUCGCCACUUUUCAACAUCAGUCUGUUGUGAAUCAUGCAGAGAAGGAACAGAAUCUACCACAGCCUGUGAAUAGUAAGAAAUUUCAACCGGAUGACUGUAUAAGAGGUUUGUGAGACUGCCAGUAAUUUUUUUUAUAUUCAGAGUUAAAUAGAGCAAUAAGAUGGAAUUUAAGCUUUAGUGCAAUGGAUUGAGGCUCUUCAGUCAAUCAAAUUAUAGUUCAAUCAGUUCAUUUUAAUCACUUCUCUGGAGAGAAGUAAACCCCUAUGUUGAAGAAUAUGCAGCCAUUUUAUUGACGGAAAGUUUAAUUGUUUUCAUUUUUCCUUACUGUCUGUAACACACUAGACUUUUAAUCAGUGGGAACUGAAGUUAUAAUGAAGUAAAGUCCACUUUCCACAGUUCACAACUAGCUGAAAAUAAUUGGGUUGAGACUCCCAUCCAGACAGUGUAAUGCCUCUGGCAUUUUCCUGAAAACUACACUUAAUUGCUUUGCUGAUGUUGUUAAGUGGUCCUGAGGGGGAUGAAGUAGUAAAGCUGCCCACAUAUGCAGAGAAACAAUACACAAAAAAAAUGUCUUACAAGGUCCUUAAAGGAGGACCAACUGGUGACUAAAAGAAAAUAUAUGGCUCUUUUUUCUUUCUUUUCCACACCAGGGAGAACACAGGCUGAUAAAAUAAACCAUGGAAAUUCCAUGCAUGCUAACAGUAUUUUUACUUAAAAAGAGAAAGCUUGGGACUUCAAGUACAGAAAACACAAAGUGAAUUGCAGGUUUGAGUGCAAGAUUUGGAAUUUUUACACUGAAUGCCAGUUAGUGUGUCUUCAGCACCUUGAGCUGAGCAACAGUCUUCGUGUCCCUAUGGAGGGAGGACAGCUUGCUUGCUGUGCUCCAGUGUGGUGGGAUAUGAGCCAGCUAUCAGCUGAAAGCCUUGUCCAGGCAUCAGAGAGCCCAGCAAGGGUACUGGAAUAGACUCUGAAAAGGGCCAGAGAAAGAAUAAUGCUUUGGAAAUGUUCCUACUUUAGUGUAGUCAUAGGGAAACACUCCUCAGCUGACUGGUGUUUAAGGCCUAAAAUGAUGAAUGAACUGCUAGACUCAGGCACAUCCCAGUGGAGAAACAUCCCAGUGGAGAAGUACGUUACUAUUUAAUAGAGAAAAAUACUUAUUUAGGACAAGCGAAUUAAGUGGUGGGAGAAGGGAGUUCAACUGCACUAAUUUAGUUUUGUGCAGAUGUUUAGUUUUUUUAUAAAUGAAUUGUUUGUUUAUUUAUGUAUGCUGGCACAGCAUUCUAUCAACAGCCUGGCCUUCCGUAGUUGGUGUCCGCGUAAAUCUUAGUAUCGCCUUUGCUUAUUUUAUUGUUGCUCUGAUAGGCUCUGAGCUGAGCAACUGCCCCCUUGAGAAUGUAAACAGAAUUUGGGCAGUGAAUUCUAAAGCAAAGAUCUCAAUUACCCCUUCUAAGCCCACAUAUGAGUUAGAGGGGUGAGAGAUUUUUUUGUCAACCUCUAAGAUUCUUGCUUGCAAAGCACCCCAGAACAUUUUUCCACUGAGAUAUCCUCAAGUCCUGACAGGGCAAGAAUACUUGAGUAUCUAGCCCUGUCUUAACCUGACUCAGCUCCACAAGAGGCUUUAAUACCUAGCUUUCCUAUAACAAAAUAGUAACCUUCCAUAUACUGUGAAACUGCAAGCCAUAUGCCAAGGAUCUCAAGCUGUCAGUUUGGAGACUAGCCCUGGGAAUAGCCUGUUGUGACUAAUUGAGUCUGCUUGCCUGCCUCUGGGAGAACAGCUCAAUAGCAGCAGUGGUUAUGCUCUGCUGUUCAUGGGGUCCCGUUGUGAGGUGAGGAACAGGGUAUGGAAUGGUUGAGAAGCAAAGGAGGCCUAUGUUUGGAAAAGUCAGAAGACUUACCUUGGCUGUGGCAGUCCUUUAGAAUCAGUAAUAUAAAACCCCAAGCUAAGUCUUCAUUUGCCUGUUUCUCUGAUAACUGCUCACAUGGAAAAAUGUGAUUUUCAUGGUUGUCAUCAAAGCCAGUGUACUCAGUUGUGGAAACAUGUCAGACACCAUAUGUCAGUAAUAUGCCUUUGAAAUGGUGGUGUCUGAAUAAUUUUUGACUAGCUGAAUGGCAUGUGUUUAAAUGUAAACAGCUGUUCUGUUUGUACUGUACUGUCCCUAUUCUCUAUAUUUUCUCUUUGUUAAAACUGAUUGAAACCCAGGAAAAUUUUGUGGUUCAUCCAUUUUUAAGGAAAUAAACUUUUGUGUUACUUCAACACGUGGCUCAUACGUUCUCUCUUAAUCCAUGACAAAGGCAUUUAAAAGAA